rnacentral:tRNA from 1 species
UGGGCGGAUAGCUCAGUGGUUAGAGCGCCUGCCUUACAAGCAGGAGGUCGUAGGUUCAAGUCCUGCUCCGCCCACCAC